rnacentral:rRNA from 1 species
CCCUUAGAUGUCCUGGGCCGCACGCGCGCUACACUGAUGCAUUCAACGAGUUUUACCUUGGCCGAGAGGCCUGGGCAAUCUUUUAAACCUGCAUCGUGAUAGGGAUAGAUUAUUGCAAUUAUUAAUCUUGAACGAGGAAUUCCUAGUAAACGCAGAUCAUCAAUCCGCAUUGAUUACGUCCCUGCCCUUUGUACACACCGCCCGUCGCACCUACCGAUUGAAUGGUCCGGUGAAGCCUCGGGAUUGUGGCCAGUUCACUUUAUUGGGAGUUGGCUGCGAGAACUUGUCUAAACCUUAUCAUUUAGAGGAAGGUGAAGUCGUAACA